UAGGGAAUCUUCCGCAAUGGGCGAAAGCCUGACGGAGCAACGCCGCGUGAGUGAUUCAGGCCCUAGGGUUGUAAAGCUCUUUCCCCGGUGAAGAUAAUGACGGUAACCGUAGAAGAAGCCCCGGCUAACUUCGUGCCAGCAGCCGCGGUAAUACGAAGGGGGCUAGCGUUGUUCGGAUUUACUGGGCGUAAAGCGCACGUAGGCGGACUAUUAAGUCAGGGGUGAAAUCCCGGGGCUCAACCCCGGAACUGCCUUUGAUACUGGUAGUCUUGAGUUCGAGAGAGGUGAGUGGAAUUCCGAGUGUAGAGGUGAAAUUCGUAGAUAUUCGGAGGAACACCAGUGGCGAAGGAGGCUCACUGGCUCGAUACUGACGCUGAGGUGCGAAAGCGUGGGGAGCAAACAGG
rnacentral:rRNA from 1 species